rnacentral:pre_miRNA from 1 species
GUGGGUUUCUAGGCGCAUUAUUUUCUAUUGUUUAUGAAAAUGCCCCCAGAAAUCCUAAA